rnacentral:rRNA from 1 species
GUCUACAGCCACACCAACCUGAACGCACCAUCUUGCCUGAUCUCGGAAGCUAAACAGGCUCAGUCUAGUUAAUAUUUGGAUAGCAGAGUGGAAAUAAAGGUAGGGAUGCAGAGA